rnacentral:lncRNA from 1 species
GAUAAUACUAAUAAUACUCAAAAAGGGACUACGAAUCUCGUAACAAAUGAAAAUCAUGAAGGGAUGUGUUGUUGAUGAACAUGAGUUUCCUGGUUUCCAAACUUGUAUUAUACCAAAAGAUGAAUUUGCAAUAGUAAAAAGGCCACUAAGCAGGUUGCAAAGGCGCGCGCCUCGCCCUCUUCAGCUCAAGCCCAGCAGCAGCAGCAACAACAACUCUCUUGAUUAUAAAGGUGCAUUGUUAAAUAAGCUAAUGGAUUCAUCUGGAUCUGAAUCUUCUGCUUCGUAUUUGUCUUGUUGUCAUAGUAAAGAUCCAAUUCCUUUGCUUUCUCCCCUUGUGUUGCCUUCAUUGCUUGAAUCUACAACAAAAUCUUAUUGAUUUUAGCUUUGGAUAGUUAUGUACAUUGGAUAGAUUUUUCUCAUUGUUGGUAUAUGAACAAAAAUUGCAAAACUCCUUAUGUUGCAUAUUAUUGACUCUUCCAUA